ensembl:lncRNA
UCCUAUGUGGUCGUGUUAUGAAAAGUAUGAUUUAUUCCUUAUUUUGCAAUGUAAUGGCUUAAAUUAGUCAUUCAAAGUGCACUGUGACUAUUUGGUUGAGGAUCCCUCCCACCCUAGGGUAAAAAAAAAUCCUAUUUUAAGAGGGUUUAUACUUUUACAGAAUUGACUGUGUGAGCAACUGGGUCUGAAGUGCCAUUCUGAGGAUGCUCAAGCUUAGAACUGGGUCCCUCCUCUGAAGAAUUGUCUUGUUUGUAGCUUGCACUGCAGCAACAUGGUAGCAAGAGGUGGAAGUUGCUUUUUCAUGUCUGCUCGGCCACAUUUGCUUGUUAUGUAAGUCUUCUUUGGCAGAUGAGAGUGCUUCUAUAAAGUAGAGAGUGG